AUUUAAAUAAUUUAAUUUUAAAAUAUUGAUUUGUGGUAUCAAAAAUAUGAUUUAUUCAUUUUAAGUA
rnacentral:tRNA from 3 species